rnacentral:snRNA from 1 species
GUGCUGGCUUCGGCAGCACAUAUGCUAAAAUUGGAACGAUACAGAGAGAUUAGCAUGGCCCCUGCGCAAGGAUGACUUGCAAACUCGUGAAGCCUUCCAUAUUUUU